rnacentral:misc_RNA from 1 species
UUUCCGUAGGUCGCUAAGUUCAGCCUACCAAAGCACACCUUUCAAAAUUGCUAGUCUCCCCCGAGGCGACACACUCAAUGUUGCGGAAAGGCCCUUUUUUCAAAGGGUAAUCCGCAGCCGGCCCCCCAAGGGCUGGUUCAGAGACUCAAUGAGUGUGGGUUUGGCCUUUCGGCCGAGCUUAAGAUAGAGCCCGUCCCUGUAGGCAACUGCAGGGAAUCAACGGAACCUGCGGAAGGAUCAUUAAAGAAUUGGUGACCCUUGCGGUCCCAUUCUCACCCUUUGUAUACCAAACUUCAGUUGCUUUGGCUGGCCUUCGCGGGCUGGCCAGAGGACUCAAACCCUUGAAUCUUUGCUGUCUGAGUACUAUAUAAUAGUUAAAACUUUCAACAACGGAUCUCUUGGUUCUGGCAUCGAUGAAGAACGCAGCGAAAUGCGAUAAGUAAUGUGAAUUGCAGAAUUCAGUGAAUCAUCGAAUCUUUGAACGCACAUUGCGCCCUCUGGUAUUCCGGGGGGCAUGCCUGUUCGAGCGUCAUUACAACCCUCAAGCUUAGCUUGGUAUUGGGCUCGCCCUUUAUGGGCCUGCCUCAAAAUCAGUGGCGGCUCCGUCCAGUCUCAAGCGCAGUAAUACUCGUCGCUUGUUUGGCUUGGUCGGUGGCCUGCUAACAACCCCCAAUUUUACAAGGUUGACCUCGGAUCAGGUAGGGAUACCCGCUGAACUUAA